AUGAAGCCCGCCGCAAGGCGCGGAACUGUAUUGGAAGAAUGGCGAAACGGGUCGUGCAAGAUUCAUAGCACACCGGAUACUAUGCCAACGCAUAGCCUUAGAGCAUGUUGGAUACUCCGGCAGGUGGCAAAGAGCGGUGAAGAUCUCCUCAUAAAACAUCCCGCCGGAGACAACAAUACGGUAUUUACAGUCUUCGAGACUUUCACCUCAAAUAAUAGGCGAAAGCGAGCUCAGCGCAGCCUCGCAGAAGUUUGCCACGUGGCAAAAAUAAACCCAUGGAACGACACGGCUAUAACCUACAAUGCCAGUGACGAACCCCAAUUCCGGACAGUCCGAGCACCAGCCGCUUUGGUCCUUAGCCCAAUCGUGGAUGGCUUCAGGCUUACUAAAGUGCUCAUGGACGGCGGAAGCGGACUAAACCUCAUCUAUGAGGAAACCCUCAACAAGAUGGAAAUUGACAAGAGCCGCAUUGAACGAAGUAGCACUACCUUCAGGGGAAUCAUCCCUAGUCGAGAGGCACAAUGCGCGGAAAAAAUCACACUGGAUGUGGUAUUCAGCACGCCAGAGAAUUACAGGUCCGAAGAAAUUACAUUCCAAAUAGCCCCGUUCAGCAGCGGAUACCAUGCCCUCUUAGGGCGGGACGCAUUCAAGAGUUUUCAGGCUAUACCCCAUUACGGGUACAUGAAGCUCAAAAUGCCCGGGCCCAACGGAAUCAUCACUCUAGCUAGUGACCCGGACGUCGCACUUCGCGCCGAAAAUAAAACUACCGCCCUCGCCCUAGAGGCAUUAUCAGAAGCCCUCGCGGCCGAAGAGCUAACAACACUACGAGCAACAGUGGACAGAGACGACGUGAUACUCGACAAGCGACCUAAAUCCACCUCCUUCAAGCCAGCGGAUGAGAUAGUCAAAUUCCAGGUCCAUCCAACGGACCCUUCAAAGACAGCUUCCGUAGGGACACAGCUGAACCCCACAAUAGACGCCGCACUGCGAGACUUCCUGCGUGAAAAUUAG
rnacentral:rRNA from 1 species